ensembl:Y_RNA Y_RNA Y RNA
GGCUGGUCUGAGUGCAGUGGUGUUUACAACUAACUGAUCACAGCCAGUUACAGAUUUCUUUGUUCCUUCUCCACUCCCACUGCUUCACUUGAGUAGCCUUAA